rnacentral:rRNA from 1 species
UGAAUACGAGACGCUAAGGCGUCGAAGUAGUGUAUGUCAUACUUCCAAGAAAAGCUUGCACUGUCAUAGAUAAAAAACGCCUGUACCAUAACCGACACAGGUGGGUAGGUAGAGUAUACUAAGGGGCGCGAGAUAACUCUCUCUAAGGAACUCGGCAAAAUAACUCCGUAACUUCGGGAGAAGGAGUGCCUUAUUCGUAAGGUUGCAAUAACAAGAUCCAAGCAACUGUUUAUCAAAAACACAGGUCUCCGCUAAGUCGUAAGACGAUGUAUGGGGGCUGACGCCUGCCCAGUGCCAGAAGGUUAAAGAAGUUGGUUAGCAAUUGCGAAGCUGAUAACUGAAGCCCUGGUGAACGGCGGCCGUAACCAUAACGGUCCUAGGGUAGCGAAAUUCCUUGUCGGGUAAGUUCCGACCCGCACGAAAGGCGUAAUGAUUUGGAUACUGUCUCGGAGAGGGGCUCGGUGAAAUAGACUUGUCUGUGAAGAUGCGGACUACCUGCACCAGGACAGAAAGACCCUAUGAAGCUUUACUGUAACUUGAAAUUGAAAUUGGACUUUAUUCGCGCAGUAUAGGUGGGAGGCGUUGAUUAUAAUCUUGUGGGAUUAUUGGAGCCAUCAGUGAGAUACCACUCUUGUAAUGUUAGAUUUCUAACUUUGAAUCAUUAUCUGGUCAAAGAACAGUUUCAGGCGGGCAGUUUGACUGGGGCGGUCGCCUCCUAAACGGUAACGGAGGCGUACAAAGGUUUCCUCUGAACGGUUAGAAAUCGUAUCUAGAGUGUAAAGGCAUAAGGAAGCUUGACUGUGAGACCUACAAGUCGAGCAGGGACGAAAGUCGGUCUUAGUGAUCUGACGGUACUGAGUGGAAAGGCCGUCACUCAACGGAUAAAAGUUACUCUAGGAUAACAGGCUGAUCUCCCCCAAGAGUUCACAUCGACGGGGAGGUUUGGCACCUCGAUGUCGGCUCAUCGCAUCCUGGGGCGGUAGUACGUCCCAAGGGUUGGGCUGUUCGCCCAUGAAAGCGGUACGCGAGCUGGGUUCAGAACGUCGUGAGACAGUUCGGUCCAUAUCCGGUGUAGGCGUUAGAAUAUUGAGAGGAGCCUUCUUUAGUACGAGAGGACCGAGAAGGACAUACCUCUGGUGUACCAGUUAUCGUGCCAACGGUAAACGCUGGGUAGCUAUGUAUGGAGUGGAUAACCGCUGAAAGCAUCUAAGUGGGAAGCCCACCUCAAGAUAAGUA